GUUCCUGGAGGAAAAGCAUAAACAAGUGGAGCAAGUGCACUUACAAGCCUCAAAGGCCAGUCAGCUAUCUCUGAACACUCAAUGAUUGAGACAUAAAAUGAAUUCAGUAUGACUUCUAUAUCUGUGGGGGAUACCUUCUAAGUCUACAUGCGGAUAGUGAAACCAUGGUUAGUGAACCCUUCUGAACAAAUGACUUCCAAUAGAAGCACACCAUAAAGUCAUACUGGAAGAACUGCCUCUGCUCUUAGAAGUUCCAUAUAUAAUCAUUAACACUAUGUAACAACGUCUGAAAAAAUGUUUCUGUUCCUGGUUUGAAAGUGUUAUUUCUUGUUUAAUUUGCUGGUACUUACUUUGAAAGUAGUUAUUCCACUCGAGAAACUUCGUUUUUGUGGCUGUCACAAACUAGCUUGAAUUGGUUUGAGACUUAAUGAGAUAUUCAUUGAAAAACGAUAGCAAAAUGUGCUGCAGGACAGCCCACAAAAACAAGGUUUUUGCAGUUUGACAAACUUUUCCCAUGUUUUGGUGAUAGAACCAAUUAGGAAACGACAUUUAUAACCCAGGAACAAAAAUAAUAUUACAUAUUGUCAUAGUUUUUUUUAUUGUGUCAGAAGUAACUUGAGAACAUACUGCGAGUCAUUUCUGGUGUGAGAGAAUUGGCUGUCUACAGAGAGGUUGCCCAAGGGAUGCCUGGAUGUGUUACCAUCCUGCUGGGAGGCUUCUCUCAUAUCCCCACGAGCUAGAGCUGACAGACGGGAGCUCGCCCUGACUCGCAGAUUUGAACUGGCAAACUUCAGAUCCGCAACCCAACCUUCAGGUCAGCAGUUCAGCCUGCACAAGGGUUUAACCCAUUGCACCACUGCGGCUCCUGUAGUGUCAUAGAUGACCAAUGUUUGACAGCCAUGUGAUACACAAUGAACAUACAUAACAAAUUGCAUUUUAGGAUUUUCCAACAAGUCAUAUAACAAGUUGCUUCAUUUUUAAAAAGGCUUUCCAAGUUCUGCAGGGAACCUAUUUUAAAAUGUGCAUCUUUUCAUUUAUGUAUGCCAGAACUAGAACAUUUCAAAAUACAUUUAAAAAGCAAAAAUACUUACUUGUUCAAGACCGGCUGUACCGACAAUACCUAAAGCAACAAAAGGGAACAGAAUGACCUUCUUAUAGGAGGGCUUCAAAAGAAAACAACUUUAAAACUUACUUGUCAGUUCAAAUCUCUCCAAAGACAACAAAUAGACUUGAUGUCAAACUGAAUACAUUACUGGAAGCCUCCUAUGUUUUGGAAUUUCUAAGAUCCACAUUCAAAUGAGGCUCACCUCUCUCAUCCCCAGAGACGAAACAAAUGCCGCUGAAGAACAGAGAGCCUCAGAACACAAAAUGCCCCAUUGAUAGUUCUUACAGGCACAGGAAUUCAAAUUGCAAUCUUCAAAUAUUUUCCCAUUUACAAUAGAUGUAGCAGCUUAUUGUAAACCAGAACAUAUAUGAAGAUUCUCCUCCAUUGAACGGAAUGGGGCAUCCUCUUUACGCCAAAUAAUGUGCAAAUCUCAGAAUGCACAUGGAUCAAUACUUCAGAGAAGUUUAGAUGAACAGACAAAACACAAAUUACUAAGUUUAGUUGAUUCACUCAUCUCACUCCAGAGAAGCACAUGCAUUAUUUGGGGUGGAUGGCCAUCGGGGCUUAUUUUUUAAAAUUGUAACUUGCAGAAUCUAUGAGCCAGUAUUGUCAACAUCAGAGAAUUUGAGAGUUGUCGUUCCCAAAAAUAGCUUUUCAGAGCUCAGUUCUGAGUGUCGCACCUCAGGUUAGCUUCACCUUGCUGAAUAAGAUUCAGCAAGAUUCAGCAAGGUUCCAUAAGAUUGUUACAAAAUAAAGCCUUAGAGAAUAAUUCAAGAAAUCACGAGGAAUGAACAAAGUCCCAAUAGAGCAUGAAAAAGUCCCAAGAACAUGAACAAAAAAUCUGCAAGAUAAUCCAGGAAAAAGAGAGCUUGUUUCUUAGUUGAACGAAAGUUGCUUUGACAAAGGUUUGUCUUCAAACACAUUGCUUUAAUACCCUUUGCAAAGCAUGAAAGCAUUUCUCUGGCCUCUAACCUCCCUCUUGUUUGCAAUUCUCACACUCUUCCAAACCCUGAAUUCCAAACGGUCAGCUCGAUCUAAGGAACCUGUUUCAUCAAGGUCAGCCUGCUUGUUUGUUUGCUGAGCCUCAUUAUCAGACUGAGAACUGUCUUCCUUUUCCAAGUCAACUUGCACCUGGCUAGUUUCAGUAUCAACAACAUCAUUCCUUGCUGUGGGAAAAUGAACUUGCACUCUCUGUUCCUCAUCUUCUACAACAGGGACAUUUUGAACCUGAUUGUGAACCUGAAUCCCAUCAUCCUCAUCAGAGUCAAUCUGAGGUUCCAGCUGAGUCACAACAAGAGUCUACUACAGAAAAAAAAUACCAAUGACUAUGAGCCAGGAUGGUUAAUUUGGGGAGCCAAUUUUUCAUUAUUGCUUAAUACAGCAUACACAGUGGGCAGAUGGGGAGUGUGAUACCUCAGGCACCUUUGGCCCCUGACCCUGUGGCUAUUGCUGACCAGGACGAAGAAGACUUUGGUUUUCUUCCAAGUCAGCAAGAUUCAACUCCUUUCCAGAUGCCUUCUAUUGACAUUGCUGAGCCAGUACCAAUUAAGGAUGCCCUUGAAACAGCGCCGGCUCUCCCAGAUUCUCCAGACAGGUUAGCGUUUGAUCGCAGGGCCUUUUUGAAAAUAGAGAGAUCGCAGAGACUAAGCUUGAGGAGAAGCGCCAGAUUAGCGGAGCGUGGUGACUAUGGCUAAGCUUAGUUCUCUUGGGAAGAAUUAGGGAGUCAGGCACCUGGCGCUGUGACAAUGGCAAGCUCAGUUCUCUUGGGAAGAAUUGGGGAGUCAGGCACCUGGUUUGAGGGAGCUUAUGAACUGCAAUAAAAGUAUUGCGCUGGGAACUUUCCUUUGCGGUGUCAACUUUACUUCUUACUGAGAAGCAUCAUCGUCUCUAGCUCUUGAAAUCCAGGCGGCCUGAAGGUGCGCUUACUCUUGAGUAGACUGGGCGCCGGUCUACCUCCUUGCCCAAGUUUGGACUGCGUUUCAGCUCCUGCACAUCCAGUUCAUGCCUUGCCCUGAAAUCCUGCUUUUGGACAUCUACUCCAGAGAACUCUUCUUUGCCUCUUUGCUCCUUUUCCCCACUCAAUACUCAAGCCGGGUUUGAGUGUGUUUCAGUUUCGGGACUUUGGACUUUAAUAUUGGACAUAAGACUUUCACUUAUUGGACUAAUUUUGAUCUUUCCUGAAAGGUCAAUUGCUUAUUCAACUUUGCUGCUUAUUUCCUUUUUGGAACUUUAUUUGCUUUAAUAAAGAUAUUAUAUUGUUA